UUUACCGACACCAAAAAUGACCAGACAUUUACCGAUGACUGGGGUGAGACUCGAUGUUUACCGACAUCGAAACAAUGGCGUUUACCGACACCAAAAAUGAAAACACACGCGAGUGUUGACAUGACACUUACUGGUAUCACAGGAACGACAUCUUAGAUAUGUCAAGGCAAGGUUGACCACUUGUUGGGAAGUCUCACUGAGGAGAAACAAUCUUUCUGUCAUCACCGGGUGAGGAAAUAAACCUCUGUGGGGAUAUCAAAUCC
rnacentral:lncRNA from 1 species